UGCCUACGGGGGGCAGCAGUAGGGAAUCUUCCACAAUGGACGAAAGUCUGAUGGAGCAACGCCGCGUGAGGGAAGACGGCCCUAUGGGUUGUAAACCUCUUUUGUCGGAGAACAAAACCCGGGACGUGUCCCGGACUGCGUGUAUCCGAAGAAAAAGCAUCGGCUAACUCCGUGCCAGCAGCCGCGGUAAUACGGAGGAUGCGAGCGUUAUCCGGAUUUAUUGGGUUUAAAGGGUGCGUAGGCGGUCCGUUAAGUCAGCGGUAAAAUUGCGGGGCUCAACCCCGUCGAGCCGUUGAAACUGGCAG
rnacentral:rRNA from 1 species